CUGAAAGAAGAAAAUAUGUCGACACAUACACCUACCCUGUAGUAGUCAGUACUGUAGACGUCUCUGGACAUGCCGAAGUCCCCGAUCUUCACCAGCAGGUUCUCGCCCACCAGGCAGUUCCUGUCGGACACACAGAACAAAACACAGCUGUGAAGAACAUGUUGUUGAGUUUAAGUAAAAGACGUUUAACAUAAUUUGAGACGUGUUACAUAGUUGGAGUUACUUCUGGCGCAGUUUUCACACCCUGUAAAAGUUUGGAUGUUUGCCUCAAAUCCAGUAUCCUGUUGCUAAUUUGCAAACUUGAUGCCGUUGAGUUCAGUGAUGAAACUGCACUUUUAUUUUGUUGUUUGUCUGUAGCAGCAUGUCUCUCACAUAGAGUAGAGAAAACAUAUAUUCUGUAAAACAGCAAAUAUCCGCUUUGGCAAUUGACUUGCAACGACAGAAUAAAAACAACCAGAGAUACAGUGUAAAUAUUCUCCAAUUAUUAUAAUCUAUAAUGAAAAUAACAAAAGUUUUACUGAAGUACUGAAAGCUUCCAUUUUUGUUCUCUUUAUAUUUAUAGAUAUUUACAAAUACUUGCCAAUGAAUUUACUAUUUAUGUCCUUAUAAGUGACUGAAUUUGUAUUUUUAGACAUCUCACGGACAAUCGAGGUAAACGCAAUUAAUUAACAGUUAUUUCUAUUUUACUGCAAGUGUAAGAUACAGGGGCAAUUUAUACAUCUGGGUUAAUUUACCAAAAUACGAUGAUUACAUACAUGAACAUAUUUUACAUUUAAAUCUACUUGCGUGAUUCCCCCACAUCUACCUCAUUCUAAGUCCUUCGAGCUUCCGAUUGGUUAGUUCUGCCACAUGUGACUCCGAACGAUAAAAUGUUGCCAUUCAAAUACACACACGAGAACAGGACAAACCUGGUGGCCAGGUCGCGAUGCACAAAGUGCUGAGAUGCCAGGUAGACCAUGCCGGAUGCUAUCUGCUGGGCGAUGUGCAGCAUCUGAGACUGGGUCAGCUCCACAGGUCUGGUGGUCUGACCCUCCGACAUCAGAACUGCGUCCGGACCGUGAGCCCUGAAAGAGCCAUGCCUGAGGAACUUGUUGAGGUCUCCGUGCUUCAUGUACUCGAACACCAUGAUGAGAGGGUCGCUCUCCACGCAGACGCCGUAAAAAGUGACGAUGUGUUCGUGUUGAAGUGCAGAUGGAAGCUCCUGUUACGAACACGGGUCUAAAGGACAAGGAGAAGUCACCCAGAGAGCUCACGGAGAAGGAAGUGACCCGUGACCCUUCAUCCAGAACGCUGAGAUGCCAGAAAAUGAGACAGACUGUGACUCCACUCCGCAUAUUCUCAGCCAAUCGCGAAACCGAGGCUCGAUCAUGUACAUUACAGGGCUGUAAGAGGAUACAGCACCAUAACAACAGUGGAUUAUUACAGUAUAGAUACUGUAUGGACAAUGCUCCAAUCUCAGCUGGAAAUGUGAUAUCGCACAUGUGUGGGAAAUCAUGGUUGACUUUCUGUUGAUGUGUUCUCAAAGUGAGCGAACCUUCAGUUAUCAAACCUCACAGUUCCACUAAAUACCAAACUGAGCAGGAGGAAGAGUAAUGAUAAUGUGAUUAAUAGCUUAAUUAAUUAAUGGUUAGUAAAUAAUUUACUCAUCACCAUUAAAAAAACACAUGGUGGAUAUCGCUGGUAUUUCAUCACAAUGCAAUUAUUGAUGUUGGUAAUAUCAAUAUUCAUGAAUUAAUAAACAUUAAUAUAUACUUGUUGGCCUCUAAUUGCCCAAGAAGCCAGCAAACCUGCAGUUUGGAGGAAUCUUCUUGAAGAAAGGUAGAGGGACAGGAUAAUAAUAAAAAACUAUACAAAGUGCUGAUAAACACCACACUCAACCUGGCAACCCACACUUUGUUAUUAUAACAGUUUAUAAUUGAUCUAUAAAUUAAUUAACUAUUGAUAAAGCAAAUAACAACUUUCUAAAAGUGUGAUGCAUUUAAAAAAGUGGCACUAAAAGGCUUCAGGGACACUUUAGAACAUAAACACUGACAGAGGUCUGUUUGAAGUUCACCUAGUUUGCCUCUCCAUGGAAAAACUAAAUCUGGAAUCAAAUUUUUGAUUUUAAAAGGGGAAAAAAAACACUUUCUUUCUCGACAAAGACGUGAACUGCACCACUGAGCCCCGAUCAGCCGGCUGAAAAAACAUUAAUCACCGCGCUAAGUGAAACAUAUUAAAAGUUGAGUUCAGAACGCUACAACAGAGACUUUGCCGUGCGUCAGAAACCUCAACGUAUCAACUGUCACGCUCUCACUGUCUGAACUCAGUGUGGCGUUAAGUCUCGAGCCAAAAGCCGUAUUUUUUGCAGCGUUAGUUAUCCGGUCUGUGCACAUUCAGGUCCCUGGACAAAUAACAAGCAAUCAACAACCUCUAGCUUGGGACUGUAGUGAUUCCCAUUUACAUGUGCAACAUUAUGGAAAAUGGAAAGUGUUCAUGAUUGAUUGCAUGCGAGUGUGUGAGUGUCUAUAGACGUGAGUGUGUGUGCAUAUGCAUAUUUCUACGUAUAUAAGCACGUGUUAUGGUGUUGCCUGUGAUCGAUGGCAGCUCAGCGUAUUGUAGUAAAACUUGCCUCUGUAUUAUGGAUGACUGGUUGAUUGAUAGCCGACUCUAAAACCAGGAGCAUUAAGCUCUAUUAGCGAGUGCAGGUUAUUGUAAUGUGGUGCAGAAGGCCGAACAUGUUUCGAUAAUGUAGCACGCAUGACAGAGUGUAACAUAAGUCCAGUAUGUACACUUCAUUAUUGAUGUAGUGUCCAUCUAAAGAAAAAACUGCCUUUUUGUCACUGAAGCAGUCGUAACGAAGACUUAGUUUCAUUGCUCACAUUUUGAAGAAAAAAGCUUUCUCAAUAAACCAAAAUGCUGUUUGGAUAUCAUGUAGGGCUCAUGUUUAACUAACUUGUUCAUUUCUCAAAAAAGACUGAAGAGAAACAUUGUAAAAUAUCUGCAAAAAGAAAAAGCACAGACCAAAAACAACCAUACAGGGACACAACUUGACCUCAAACAGUUAUAAAAUGAUUUGCGUCAUCUGUGCCUCUUUCAGUCUGGGGGGAAUUAAUCUGCCCAUGACCAGGUUGUAAUUUUUUAUUGUAGUUUUUAGUUCCAGAAACAGUGUCUCAGUUAUUUUUGGAUUAUGUGAACUACUUUCA